UACGUAGGUGGCAAGCGUUGUCCGGAAUUAUUGGGCGUAAAGCGCGCGCAGGUGGUUUAAUAAGUCUGAUGUGAAAGCCCACGGCUCAACCGUGGAGGGUCAUUGGAAACUGUUAAACUUGAGUGCAGGAGAGAAAAGUGGAAUUCCUAGUGUAGCGGUGAAAUGCGUAGAGAUUAGGAGGAACACCAGUGGCGAAGGCGGCUUUUUGGCCUGUAACUGACACUGAGGCGCGAAAGCGUGGGGAGCAAACAGGAUUAGAUACCCCCGUAGUCC
rnacentral:rRNA from 1 species